rnacentral:rRNA from 1 species
AGAACGAACGCUGGCGGCAGGCUUAACACAUGCAAGUCGAGCGCACCGCAAGGUGAGCGGCAGACGGGUGAGUAACGCGUGGGAAUCUACCCAAUUCUACGGAAUAACACAGGGAAACUUGUGCUAAUACCGUAUACGCCCUACGGGGGAAAGAUUUAUCGGAGUUGGAUGAGCCCGCGUAAGAUUAGCUAGUUGGUGGGGUAAUGGCCUAUCAAGGCGACGAUCUUUAGCUGGUCUGAGAGGAUGAUCAGCCACACUGGGACUGAGACACGGCCCAGACUCCUACGGGAGGCAGCAGUGGGGAAUAUUGGACAAUGGGCGAAAGCCUGAUCCAGCCAUGCCGCGUGAGUGAUGAAGGCCUUAGGGUUGUAAAGCUCUUUCAGUGGGGAAGAUAAUGACGGUACCCACAGAAGAAGCCCGGCUAACUUCGCGCCAGCAGCCGC